UUGAACGCUGGCGGCAUGCCUUACACAUGCAAGUCGAACGGCAGCACGGGAGCAAUCCUGGUGGCGAGUGGCGAACGGGUGAGUAAUGUAUCGGAACGUGCCCAGUUGUGGGGGAUAACUACUUGAAAGAGUGGCUAAUACCGCAUACGACCUGAGGGUGAAAGCGGGGGAUCGCAAGACCUCGCGCAAUUGGAGCGGCCGAUAUCAGAUUAGCUAGUUGGCGGGGUAAAAGCCCACCAAGGCGACGAUCUGUAGCUGGUCUGAGAGGACGACCAGCCACACUGGGACUGAGACACGGCCCAGACUCCUACGGGAGGCAGCAGUGGGGAAUUUUGGACAAUGGACGCAAGUCUGAUCCAGCCAUGCCGCGUGCGGGAAGAAGGCCUUCGGGUUGUAAACCGCUUUUGUCAGGGAAGAAACGGCCUGGGUUAAUACCUUGGGCUAAUGACGGUACCUGAAGAAUAAGCACCGGCUAACUACGU
rnacentral:rRNA from 1 species